rnacentral:rRNA from 1 species
UACGGAGGGUGCAAGCGUUGUCCGGAUUUAUUGGGUUUAAAGGGUGCGUAGGCGGCCCGGUAAGUCAGUGGUGAAAUAUCCCGGCUUAACCGGGAGGGUGGCAUUGAUACUGCGGGGCUAGAGUACAGAUGAGGUAGGCGGAAUUGACGGUGUAGCGGUGAAAUGCUUAGAUAUCGUCAAGAACACCUAUAGCGAAGGCAGCUUACUAGGCUGUAACUGACGCUGAGGCACGAAAGUGUGGGGAUCAAACAGG